rnacentral:misc_RNA from 1 species
GGAACUGCUUAUGCUUUUUGGUAGAAGUUCCAUUCUGAAGAACUACUGCUUGCUUUUGUGCAAGUAAAUAACCAGCCUUCUUCAAGUACACAACAAAUUAGACAUGAGUUGCUCCUCAUGUUCAAGAAAAUCAAAUUUUGUUUAAAAAAACUCAAUGAAAUGAGAUGCAUUAAUUCAUUCAGUACAGACAAAACAGAGUCCAUGGGCAUCAACAGUUGAUUAAACAUCAAGCUACAUCAUCUUCUUCACAUCAAUAACAAUUAGUCAUUCUUGAUUCUCUUUACAGAAUUUUUGGUUUCACUAAUCUAUCAAUGUUAGAAAACGUCUUACAAUUCUUCAAUCCAGACAGUGAAGCCCCUUCGACAUUUGCUCCCAUUGCACUUGCAUCCUAAUUCUGAAUAUGCGGAGGUUGAGCUUCUUUUCUCAAUGGCACAUUGAUGUCCAUUGAUGCAAGGCCUUCUA